rnacentral:rRNA from 1 species
AUGGGUAGUGCUAGUGAACCUCGCAAAUUUGAAUUUAAAGAUUUUCUUACUAGUAUCACUAUGGGGGAAUCCAGAGAAAUAGCACAAGCCACCAUAGGGAGCAUUCAUUUUCCUGCUAUACAUUAUUUUGCUCUUUUUAUAGGCAGAUGCGUAAAUGGUAAGAACGAAGCAUGUCACAUGUGUGUUCCUGACCUUAGCAUUCUCAGGAGUGCGGUGUUAGGAGAUAAACAAUAUAACUUGGGGGUCAUCGUUGCAUGUAGGUUGCAUAAUAAUGGUUUAAUUGGAGAUUUGUUUAGUGGGAUUUAUGCAACCUGUAUAGCUAAUUAUCUUGGGGUACCCAUACAUGAAAAUGAUAGAGAGUUGAUUUCUGCUUACCUAGAUUAUAAUGCCAUGGUUAACCACCAGUUUAUUGAAAGGAAAGAACAAUCCCUCCAAUAUCGACUAAUCUUUGACAGACGUCGCGCUAUCCAUAUUACUCUCCCUGCUCCUGCUUUCUUUGACUAUCAGGCAAAAAGAAGAUAUAUUAUAACCAGGGAGGAAGCGAACGAGUACGAGAAGAGGACGGAGGCAGCUCGCCGCCAGGCUGUCGCUCGUGAGGCAAUGGCUUGUGCAUCUCAGUACGACCCCAGUUACAACUUCGAAUAUCCACCAGGCCAUCCAUGGGCAUAG